UUUUUUUUCUUCUAUCGCAGAUAUGACAGCUACAUUUGGAUGAGUGACAAUUAUAAACGGACCGGAGCGGAGGGUGACCAGUUUGCAUCAAACGGAUCUUCCUGUUGGUUCGCAAAGAAAUUGAUAACUCACUCCUUGGGAUGCACAAGAGUCAAUUCAUUCAAAUGUUAUCGUGCUGCUGUUCCCCAAGAAACCGACAGUCAAUAAGUACUCCUAAGGAAAAAGAGAAGGAUAUGAAAGGCCUUCAGAAGUCUCUUAAAAUACCAAAGCAGAAAUUCAAUCAGGUAGAAGACAUGAUAGGUCCAAGUGGAAGUGCAUCAGUAGCAACAAAUUUACUCUUAAUCCUUUUAAGAUGAAAGUAAAUCUGAUACCUCUAAAUUGGAAGGACCAUUAAUACUCAAUGAGUCUAAAAUAAAACAUUCAACGAGACAAAA